UACGUAGGGUGCAAGCGUUAAUCGGAAUUACUGGGCGUAAAGCGUGCGCAGGCGGUUUUGUAAGUCUGUCGUGAAAUCCCCGGGCUCAACCUGGGAAUGGCGAUGGAGACUGCAAGGCUAGAAUCUGGCAGAGGGAGGUAGAAUUCCACGUGUAGCAGUGAAAUGCGUAGAGAUGUGGAGGAACACCGAUGGCGAAGGCAGCCCCCUGGGUCAAGAUUGACGCUCAUGCACGAAAGCGUGGGGAGCAAACAGG
rnacentral:rRNA from 1 species